UACUUUAAGAUGCCUACUAAAUAAAUGUCUGGAUCAAUAAAUAUGAUCUGGGGAUCGAGCAGGAGUUGUAACUCUCUCUAAUGGUUGUAUAAGAAUUGAUCGAAAGAGUGUUACAUUAGUAUGGUGGGAAUGCACACACUGUCAAUGGAGUACUCGGACGUAAAGAUAGACAAAGAGGAGACAUUGAGAUUCAAUAAGUUCAAUUUCAAAUAUGUUUGAGAAUCAAAUAGAGUUGAACUGAACAGAAUAGAACAAAUUAUUGAAGGGAAACUGUUCUCACGCUUUGUCGUCUUACUUCUCUUUAAACUAGCAGCGAUCUGUGCAGUUGCAGCAUUAUGGGAUUAACAGACUUUGUGAAUUGGCAGCCAGGUAAUGAGUGAAGGAGAAGGCAGAGAAUAAACCUCUCAUGCCUUCAAUGCUGCUAAGCUGGUUAAAAAUAGAGGCAGAAGAGAGGGAUUGAGCGAAUCGGCAUGGAAAGAAAAGAUGGGGGAUGGAGGAAACAGCUGAUUUGAUUCCUGCAAAGAAGGUAAGGCAGGAUUUAUUAGGUGACCUUGACUGUCAGUAAAACAAAUGUGUGGCAACGCAUGUUAAAGGCAGACAAAGAAACAUCCAUCAUGCAUCCAGGCUGAUCCUGAGUGCUCUUUUUAGCCACCAGCGACCUGAUGGAGAAACUCUGCUCAGGCUAAUCAUGUGUAUGACAAUGAUGAGCAUGUUUGGCUGCAUGCUGUUGGCUUGGUUGGCCAGAAGGACAAACUAUGUGAGAGGAGAGCAAGAGGACGAGGGAGGCACGAACACUGGCACCAUGCCACCCUGCAAGGUCGUUUCCAAGGACAACCUGCUCCCAGCAUCCCCUGCUUCAUUGGUUGAUGGGUAUUAAAGGGCCAGUUCCCCUGCAGAGCACAUGGCUUGACUACAGCUCUGCUACCACACUCAUCAUUCCCAUCACUCCCGAGGCUGCUUACUGUACAUGCUUACAGACAGUCAGCAUUGUCUGAAUCAAGCAAACCAUUUUUUUUUCAUAAGUGAGCGUAGCACACUACAAGCUCAGCAGACCUGAAAAAAACACAAAGCAAACAGCUUCAAAGCAGCUCGGGCAGAUAGACAGUCAGCAAAAUGGCUACCACAGCCUCUCUCUGGAAUGGAAAGAGGAUUUAAGGUUGGCUGAUAAAAUGGAACAAGAAAGCACUUCUGAAAAAUUCUUACAAAUGGAGUGCACCACUUAAUAGGUUUUACAGAGUCCAUCAGUCCAUUUUAGGUGAAAAGCUCAUCUGCUAAUCUGUUGAAUAAUCGUAGUACUUAAAAGCCAUUUUCCCUCAUCCUGGUGACCUCAUUUUUAAAGCAAUUUGACAUCCGGGUAUUAGAUACAAAUGACUAUGCUUUGUUAAGUACUUCAAGAAUGUUACAUUAUGAACAGUAUUUUUUAUAUGAGAACAACUCAUAAAAAAAUACUAUACAUAAGGUCAUUUAUUUAUACCACUGAUGAUAGUGUGAGUGACACCGCUCUCACAUCUGUAAUGAAAAUAUGAAGCUACAGCCAGCAGCCGGUUAGCUUAGCUUAGCACAAAGACUGGAACCAGGGGGAAACAACUAGCCUUGCUCUGUCCAAAGGUAA